rnacentral:rRNA from 1 species
AGCUUUUGCGGCGUGGGAUGGGGUCGCGUCCUAUCAGCUUGUUGGCGGGGUGAGGGCCCACCAAGGCUUCGACGGGUAGCCGGCCUGAGAGGGCGACCGGCCACAUUGGGACUGAGAUACGGCCCAGACUCCUACGGGAGGCAGCAGUGGGGAAUAUUGCACAAUGGGCGCAAGCCUGAUGCAGCGACGCCGCGUGCGGGAUGGAGGCCUUCGGGUUGUAAACCGCUUUUGUUUGGGAGCAAGCCCUUCGGGGUGAGUGUACCUUUCGAAUAAGCACCGGCUAACUACGUGCCAGCAGCCGCGGUAAU